UAACUCUACUAACUCAUAAGCACAAGAACGAAGAGGAAACUGAAACUGAAAGCUUAAUUUACUACGAUUGCUCAGUCGCUGCGAUCAGCUGAUGGGGAACAAGAUGAUCAAGUCCAGUUCUGGUAUAUGGUCAGCCAUGGCGUCGUGGUUCGCUUGCUUCGGCUCUACUAAUAAGGCGGCUGAUUCCGGCCGGCCCGGGAGUGCUGGGUACGACCCGGCGGCCGGGAUGGUUGCAGCUGCUAAGCAUUUCUCCAGCGCGCGCAAUGUAAAGUUUGGUUGACAAGUGUGUCAAGUGAAAAUUUGUACAUAGUAUAGUUAUGGUUUUUGUAGUCUUGUGUGUUGUAGGAGUAUAGCACACUUGUGUAAUCAAAAGAAAUGUACUGGGAUUAUUUUUUUCUGCACAAGAAUCAAGUUCAAC
rnacentral:lncRNA from 1 species